CCUACGGGGGGCAGCAGUGGGGAAUCUUGCACAAUGGACGAAAGUCUGAUGCAGCAACGCCGCGUGGGGGAUGAAGCUUUUCGGAGUGUAAACCCCUUUCGACCCGGAAGCGGUACGGGUAUAAGAAGCCCCGGCUAACUACGUGCCAGCAGCCGCGGUAAUACGUAGGGGGCCAGCGUUGCUCGGAAUUACUGGGCGUAAAGGGUCCGUAGGCGGUGUGGCAAGUCGGGAGUGAAAUCUCUGGGCUUAACCCAGAGGCUGCUUCCGAAACUGCCAUGCUAGAGUGUGAGAGAGGCGAGUGGAAUUACGGGUGUAGCGGUGAAAUGCGUAGAUAUCCGUAGGAACAUCCGAGGCGAAGGCGGCUCGCUGGUCCAACUGACGCUGAGGGACGAAAGCUAGGGGAGCAAACAGGAUUAGAUACCCUUGUAGUC
rnacentral:rRNA from 1 species